UACGAAGGGGGCUAGCGUUGUUCGGAAUUACUGGGCGUAAAGCGCGCGCAGGCGGCUAUCCAAGUCAGUGGUGAAAGCCCGGAGCUCAACUCCGGAACUGCCAUUGAAACUGUUUAGCUUGAGGAUGAGAGAGGUGAGUGGAAUUCCCAGUGUAGAGGUGAAAUUCGUAGAUAUUGGGAAGAACACCGGUGGCGAAGGCGGCUCACUGGCUCAUUACUGACGCUCAGGCGCGAUAGCAUGGGGAUCAAACAGG
rnacentral:rRNA from 1 species